rnacentral:lncRNA from 1 species
UUGCUAUUCACAUUGUUGAAGGAAAAUGUGAUCCUCCCAACAUAAUUUCACCACCACUAAUUAAACAAUGAGGUUUUAUUAUUUUAGGUUCGACCCAUUCUAGAUGCAAGUCUCUUAAUUACAAUCUGUCGCUUCAAGGGAACACCCUUUGAUUUUGUCAUAAAGAAACAUAAUGUGUGUGUUUGAUUUUGCAGCUGCUCCCAAGUCCAACCUCAGGGUGCGUACGUAUCCCUUGUGGAAAUCAAGCCACUCGUAGUUCAAAGAUUCACAAUGCAUAAAUGACUCAUUACAAAAGGGGAAAUUUGAAUGAAUUUAAUUGAGGAGUGUUUGAGUGAAUUGAGCUGAAUAAACUAGGGAUUCGAUUUUGAUGUGUGUUUGGGGUGAAGUUGGUUAAGAAUAAACCAGGGAUUCUGUUUCGAUUUGAGAUUUGGGUGGUUGCAUCUAGAUUGAGUCUCUAGAUUGCCUACGUACCCUUUCAAAGGGAUCAAACCAACGUAGUUCGGAAUUGAUUUGUGCGAAGAUAGAUAUUUGAUUCGUGGGAAUUUGGUUGAUGUAACCAGUGAUUCAAAUUUGGUUGCGAUUGAGUCUAUUGAGAUGCUAGACUGCCUACGUACCCUUAAUGGGAUCAAACCGACGUAGUUCCAAAAUUUGAAAAUUAAUGGGUAAGUGUUUGGACGAAUUUGGUCAAGAUAAAAACCAGGGAUUCAAAUUGGGUUGCGGUUGCGUCUAGUGGGAUGCUAGACUGCCUACGUACCCUUGAUGGGAUCAAAUUGGCAUAGUUCCAAAUUGAUUGUUUAAUUUUGCGUGGUUUUGUAACACUUGAGAUUAGGUGUGGUUUUGUACCA